rnacentral:rRNA from 1 species
CCAAGCUACUAAGGGCGAGACGGUGGAUGCCUUGGCGCUCGAGAUGGCGAUGAAGGACGUGGUUAGCUGCGAUAAGCCUCGGCGAGCCGCUAAACAGGCUUUGAUCCCGGGGAUUUCCGAAUGGGGGAACCCACCCCGGUAAUGUCGGGGUAUCCAUCACUGAAUACAUAGGUCAUGGAGGCGAACGCAGGGGAACUGAAACAUCUAAGUACCCUGCAGGAAAAGAAAGCAACCGCGAUUCCGCAUAGUAGCGGCGAGCGAACUGCGGACCAGCCUAAACCGGAAUAUGUUAAGCCUGCAUGCGUUGCCAUGUCGGGUUGCGGGGCCUCGGAAGUAUGCAGUGCUUCGGCAAGUCAAAAAUGUGAAUGGAUAGCUGAACUGCUCUGGAAAGGUCGGCCGAUAGAGGGUGAUAGCCCCGUAAGCGAAAUCGUUGAACUUGCUCUAGGGUGUCCCCAAGUACCGCGGGACACGGGAAACCCUGCGGGAAUCUGGGAGGACCAUCUUCCAAGGCUAAAUACUACUCCGCGACCGAUAGUGAACCAGUACCGUGAGGGAAAGGUGAAAAGUACCCCUGUGAGGGGAGUGAAAUAGUACCUGAAACCGUUUGCUUGCAAGCUGUGGGAGGACUGUGGUCGGCCUCAAAGGUUAGCCCUUUGGCCGGUCUGUCUCGACCGCGUGCCUUUUGCAUAAUGAGUCAGUGAGUUACUUUACGUGGCGAGGUUAAGCCGUUAGGUGUAGCCGUAGCGAAAGCGAGUCUGAAUAGGGCGAUGAGUCGCGUGGAGUAGACCCGAAGCCAGUUGAUCUAUCCAUGGCCAGGGUGAAGUCUCGGUAACACGAGAUGGAGGCCCGAACCGCACUAAGGUUGAAAACUUAGGGGAUGAGCUGUGGAUCGGAGUGAAAGGCUAAUCAAAACUGGAGAUAGCUGGUUCUCCCCGAAAUGCAUUUAGGUGCAGCCUCGCAGGAUGAAUGGCGGGAGGGUAGAGCACUGGAUGGGCUAGGGGUCUCACCAGAUUACCAAACCCAACCAAACUCCGAAUGCCGUCACUAUUUACUGCGGGAGUGAGACUGCGGGAGAUAAGUUCCGUGGUCGAAAGGGAAACAGCCCAGACCGCCAGCUAAGGUCCCUAAAUAUGUGCUAAGUGGGAAAGGAUGUGGAAAGCGCUGAGACAGCCAGGAGGUUGGCUUAGAAGCAGCCAUCCUUUAAAGAAAGCGUAACAGCUCACUGGUCAAGUGAGUCUGCGCCGAAAAUGUAACGGGGCUAAAGCACAUUACCGAAGCUGCGGAUUGUCUGAAUCUUCGGAUUCAGGUGAUGGUAGGGGAGCAUUCCAUUCCGGGCUGAAGGCAGACCGUAAGGACUGCUGGACUGAAUGGAAGAGACUAUGCUGACAUGAGUAGCGAUAAUGCGGGUGAGAAAACCCGCUCGCCGUAAGCCUAAGGUUUCCUGAGUAAAGCUAAUCUUCUCAGGGUUAGUCGGUCCCCUAAGCCGAGGCCGAAAGGCGUAGGUGAUGGGAAAACAGGUUAAUAUUCCUGUACCACCAAACAGGCAUUUGAGUGAUGGGGGGACGUAGAAGGGUAGGCCAUCCGGGUGAUGGACGUCCCGGUUCAAGCCGGUAGGUGGAGGCUCUAGGCAAAUCCGGAGCUCUCUUAUUAACACCGAGAAGCGAUGAGGAGGGACUAUCCCAUAAACUGGCUGAUCCCACGCUACCAAGAAAAGCCUCUAGCGAGUCCGUUUGGUGACCGUACUGCAAACCGACACAGGUAGGCAGGGGUGAGUAUCCCUAAGGCGCUUGAGAGAACCCUGGUUAAGGAACUCGGCAAAAUUGACACCGUAACUUCGGGAGAAGGUGUGCCCUCAUCAGGUGAAACGACUUGCUCGUGGAGCCGAAGGGGGUUGCAGAGAAUAGGGGGUUGCGACUGUUUACUAAAAACACAGGACUCUGCUAAGUCGUAAGACGAUGUAUAGGGUCUGACGCCUGCCCGGUGCUGGAAGGUUAAGGGGAUGCGUUAUCCCGACUCGUCGGGAGAAGCGUUGAACCGAAGCCCCAGUAAACGGCGGCCGUAACUAUAACGGUCCUAAGGUAGCGAAAUUCCUUGUCGGGUAAGUUCCGACCUGCACGAAUGGCGUAACGACAUCCCCGCUGUCUCAACCAGGGACUCAGCGAAAUUGUAUUCUCGGUGAAGAUACCGAGUACCCGCGGCAAGACGGAAAGACCCCGUGCACCUUUACUAUAGCUUGGCAUUGGCUUUUGGGCUAGCAUGUGUAGGAUAGGUGGGAGACUUUGAAAUGGGGACGCUAGUUUCCAUGGAGUCAACCUUGAAAUACCACCCUUGUUAUUUUAGAAGUCUAACCUUGGCCCGUUAUCCGGGUUAGGGACAGUGCCUGGUGGGUAGUUUGACUGGGGCGGUCGCCUCCUAAAGCGUAACGGAGGCGCGCGAAGGUUCCCUCAGGCUGAUUGGAAACCAGCCGUAGAGUGUAAAGGCAUAAGGGAGCCUGACUGCGAGACCUACAAGUCGAGCAGAGACGAAAGUCGGUCUUAGUGAUCCGGCGGUUCUGGAUGGAAGGGCCGUCGCUCAACGGAUAAAAGGUACGCCGGGGAUAACAGGCUUAUCUCCCCCAAGAGUUCACAUCGACGGGGAGGUUUGGCACCUCGAUGUCGGCUCAUCGCAUCCUGGGGCUGAAGCAGGUCCCAAGGGUUGGGCUGUUCGCCCAUUAAAGCGGUACGUGAGCUGGGUUUAAAACGUCGUGAGACAGUUUGGUCCCUAUCUGCCGUGGGCGCAGGAUAUUUGAGGGGAGCUGUCCCUAGUACGAGAGGACCGGGAUGGACGAACCUCUGGUGUACCAGUUGUCACGCCAGUGGCACCGCUGGGUAGCUAUGUUCGGAAGGGAUAACCGCUGAAAGCAUCUAAGCGGGAAGCCCACCCCAAGAUAAGAUAUCCCCUCUCUCUCGCUUCGGCGGGAGAGGCUGAAGGCCCCUUGUAGACUACGAGGUUGAUAGGUCGGGUGUGUAAGCACAGCAAUGUGUUUAGCUAACCGAUACUAAUUGGCCGUGCGGCUUGACCAU